GCUUUCGUGGUGUAACGGUAGCACACUCGGCUCGUAUUCGAGAGUUCCAGGUUCGAGUCCCUGCGAGAGAA
rnacentral:tRNA from 1 species